AGAGUUUGAUCCUGGCUCAGGACGAACGCUGGCGGCGUGCUUAACACAUGCAAGUCGAACGAUGAACCUGGAGCUUGCUCUAGGGAAUUAGUGGCGAACGGGUGAGUAACACGUGAGUAACCUGCCCUUGACUCUGGGAUAACCUCCGGAAACGGAAGCUAAUACCGGAUAUGACGCACGGAGGCAUCUCCUGUGCGUGGAAAGAACUUCGGUCAAGGAUGGACUCGCGGCCUAUCAGGUAGUUGGUGAGGUAACGGCUCACCAAGCCUACGACGGGUAGCCGGCCUGAGAGGGUGACCGGCCACACUGGGACUGAGACACGGCCCAGACUCCUACGGGAGGCAGCAGUGGGGAAUAUUGCACAAUGGGCGCAAGCCUGAUGCAGCAACGCCGCGUGAGGGACGACGGCCUUCGGGUUGUAAACCUCUUUUAGUAGGGAAGAAGCGAAAGUGACGGUACCUGCCGAAAAAG
rnacentral:rRNA from 1 species